UACGUAGGGUGCGAGCGUUAAUCGGAUUUACUGGGCGUAAAGGGGGCGUAGGCGGCCGUGUAAGUCCGGUGUGAAAUACCACGGCUCAACCGUGGGACUGCGCUGGAAACUACACGGCUUGAGGACGGUAGAGGGAGACGGAACUGCUGGUGUAGGGGUGAAAUCCGUAGAUAUCAGCAGGAACGCCGGUGGAGAAGUCGGUCUCCUGGGCCGUUCCUGACGCUGAGGCCCGAAAGCUAGGGGAGCAAACCGG
rnacentral:rRNA from 1 species